rnacentral:tRNA from 1 species
GUCAUGAUGGCCGAGCGGUCUAAGGCGCCAGACUCAAGGUUCAAUUCCUUCUCGUCAUAAAUGGGAGAGUGUUCUGGUCUCCGAAUACAGGCGUGGGUUCGAAUCCCACAUCUGACA